rnacentral:rRNA from 1 species
AGAGUUUGAUCCUGGCUCAGGACGAACGCUGGCGGCGUGCCUAACACAUGUAAGUCGAACGGGACUGGGGGCAACUCCAGUUCAGUGGCAGACGGGUGCGUAACACGUGAGCAACUUGUCCGACGGCGGGGGAUAGCCGGCCCAACGGCCGGGUAAUACCGCGUACGCUCGUUUAGGGACAUCCCUGAAUGAGGAAAGCCGUAAGGCACCGACGGAGAGGCUCGCGGCCUAUCAGCUAGUUGGCGGGGUAAUGGCCCACCAAGGCGACGACGGGUAGCUGGUCUGAGAGGAUGGCCAGCCACAUUGGGACUGAGACACGGCCCAGACUCCUACGGGAGGCAGCAGUGGGGAAUCUUGCGCAAUGGCCGCAAGGCUGACGCAGCGACGCCGCGUGUGGGAUGACGGCCUUCGGGUUGUAAACCACUGUCGGGAGGAACGAAUACUCGGCUAGUCCGAGGGUGACGGUACCUCCAAAGGAAGCACCGGCUAACUCCGUGCCAGCAGCCGCGGUAAUACGGAGGGUGCGAGCGUUGUCCGGAAUCACUGGGCGUAAAGGGCGCGUAGGUGGCCCGUUAAGUGGCUGGUGAAAUCCCGGGGCUCAACUCCGGGGCUGCCGGUCAGACUGGCGAGCUAGAGCACGGUAGGGGCAGAUGGAAUUCCCGGUGUAGCGGUGGAAUGCGUAGAUAUCGGGAAGAAUACCAGUGGCGAAGGCGUUCUGCUGGGCCAUUGCUGACACUGAGGCGCGACAGCGUGGGGAGCAAACAGGAUUAGAUACCCUAGUAGUCC